AUUGUCCUACUGGUUAACACUGGACACUGAGAAGGUGGAAUAUUGUCCUACUGGUUAACACUGGACACUGAGAAGGUGGAAUAUUGUCCUACUGGUUAACACUGGACACUGAGAAGGUGGAAUAUUGUCCUACUGGUUAACACUGGACACUGAGAAGGUAGAAUAUUGUCCUACUGGUUAACACUGGACACUGAGAAGGUGGAAUAUUGUCCUACUGGUUAACACUGGACACUGAGAAGGUGGAAUAUUGUCCUACUGGUUAACACUGGACACUCACUGAGAAGGUGGAAUAUUGUCCUACUGGUUAACACUGGACACUCACUGAGAAGGUGGAAUAUUGUCCUACUGGUUAACACUGGACACUGAGAAGGUGGAAUAUUGUCCUACUGGUUAACACUGGACACUCACUGAGAAGGUGGAAUAUUGUCCUACUGGUUAACACUGGACACUGAGAAGGUGGAAUAUUGUCCUACUGGUUAACACUGGACACUCACUGAGAAGGUGGAAUAUUGUCCUACUGGUUAACACUGGACACUGAGAAGGUGGAAUAUUGUCCUACUGGUUAACACUGGACACUCACUGAGAAGGUGGAAUAUUGUCCUACUGGUUAACACUGGACACUGAGAAGGUGGAAUAUUGUCCUACUGGUUAACACUGGACACUGAGAAGGUGGAAUAUUGUCCUACUGGUUAACACUGGACACUCACUGAGAAGGUGGAAUAUUGUCCUACUGGUUAACACUGGACACUGAGAAGGUGGAAUAUUGUCCUACUGGUUAACACUGGACACUGAGAAGGUAGAAUAUUGUCCUACUGGUUAACACUGGACACUGAGAAGGUAGAAUAUUGUCCUACUGGUUAACACUGGACACUGAGAAGGUGGAAUAUUGUCCUACUGGUUAACACUGGACACUGAGAAGGUGGAAUAUUGUCCUACUGGUUAACACUGGACACUGAGAAGGUGGAAUAUUGUCCUACUGGUUAACACUGGACAUUGAGAAGGUGGAAUAUUGUCCUACUGGUUAACACUGGACACUCACUGAGAAGGUGGAAUAUUGUCCUACUGGUUAACACUGGACAUUGAGAAGGUGGAAUAUUGUCCUACUGGUUAACACUGGACACUGAGAAGGUGGACUAUUGUCCCACUGGUUAACACUGGACAUUGAGAAGGUGGAAUAUUGUCCUACUGGUUAACACUGGACACUGAGAAGGUGGAAUAUUGUCCUACUGGUUAACACUGGACACUGAGAAGGUGGAAUAUUGUCCUACUGGUUAACACUGGACACUCACUGAGAAGGUGGAAUAUUGUCCUACUGGUUAACACUGGACACUCACUGAGAAGGUGGAAUAUUGUCCUACUGGUUAACACUGGACACUCACUGAGAAGGUGGAAUAUUGUCCUACUGGUUAACACUGGACACUGAGAAGGUGGAAUAUUGUCCUACUGGUUAACACUGGACACUGAGAAGGUGGAAUAUUGUCCUACUGGUUAACACUGGACACUGAGAAGGUGGAAUAUUGUCCUACUGGUUAACACUGGACACUGAGAAGGUAGAAUAUUGUCCUACUGGUUAACACUGGACACUCACUGGUUAACACUGGACACUCACUGGUUAACACUGGACACUCACUGGUUAACACUGGACACUCACUGGUUAACACUGGACACUCACUGGUUAACACUGGACACUCACUGGUUAACACUGGACACUCACUGGUUAACACUGGACACUCACUGGUUAACACUGGACACUCACUGGUUAACACUGGACACUGAGAAGGUAGAAUAUUGUCCUACUGGUUAACACUGGACACUCACUGAGAAGGUGGAAUAUUGUCCUACUGGUUAACACUGGACACUGAGAAGGUGGAAUAUUGUCCUACUGGUUAACACUGGACACUGAGAAGGUGGAAUAUUGUCCUACUGGUUAACACUGGACACUGAGAAGGUGGAAUAUUGUCCUACUGGUUAACACUGGACACUGAGAAGGUAGAAUAUUGUCCUACUGGUUAACACUGGACACUGAGAAGGUGGAAUAUUGUCCUACUGGUUAACACUGGACACUGAGAAGGUAGAAUAUUGUCCUACUGGUUAACACUGGACACUGAGAAGGUGGAAUAUUGUCCUACUGGUUAACACUGGACACUGAGAAGGUGGAAUAUUGUCCUACUGGUUAACACUGGACACUGAGAAGGUGGAAUAUUGUCCUACUGGUUAACACUGGACAUUGAGAAGGUGGAAUAUUGUCCUACUGGUUAACACUGGACACUCACUGAGAAGGUGGAAUAUUGUCCUACUGGUUAACACUGGACAUUGAGAAGGUGGAAUAUUGUCCUACUGGUUAACACUGGACACUGAGAAGGUGGACUAUUGUCCCACUGGUUAACACUGGACAUUGAGAAGGUGGAAUAUUGUCCUACUGGUUAACACUGGACACUGAGAAGGUGGAAUAUUGUCCUACUGGUUAACACUGGACACUCACUGAGAAGGUGGAAUAUUGUCCUACUGGUUAACACUGGACACUCACUGAGAAGGUGGAAUAUUGUCCUACUGGUUAACACUGGACACUCACUGAGAAGGUGGAAUAUUGUCCUACUGGUUAACACUGGACACUGAGAAGGUGGAAUAUUGUCCUACUGGUUAACACUGGACACUGAGAAGGUGGAAUAUUGUCCUACUGGUUAACACUGGACACUGAGAAGGUGGAAUAUUGUCCUACUGGUUAACACUGGACACUGAGAAGGUAGAAUAUUGUCCUACUGGUUAACACUGGACACUCACUGGUUAACACUGGACACUCACUGGUUAACACUGGACACUCACUGGUUAACACUGGACACUCACUGGUUAACACUGGACACUCACUGGUUAACACUGGACACUCACUGGUUAACACUGGACACUCACUGGUUAACACUGGACACUCACUGGUUAACACUGGACACUGAGAAGGUAGAAUAUUGUCCUACUGGUUAACACUGGACACUCACUGAGAAGGUGGAAUAUUGUCCUACUGGUUAACACUGGACACUGAGAAGGUGGAAUAUUGUCCUACUGGUUAACACUGGACACUGAGAAGGUGGAAUAUUGUCCUACUGGUUAACACUGGACACUGAGAAGGUGGAAUAUUGUCCUACUGGUUAACACUGGACACUGAGAAGGUAGAAUAUUGUCCUACUGGUUAACACUGGACACUGAGAAGGUGGAAUAUUGUCCUACUGGUUAACACUGGACACUGAGAAGGUAGAAUAUUGUCCUACUGGUUAACACUGGACACUGAGAAGGUGGAAUAUUGUCCUACUGGUUAACACUGGACACUGAGAAGGUGGAAUAUUGUCCUACUGGUUAACACUGGACACUGAGAAGGUGGAAUAUUGUCCUACUGGUUAACACUGGACAUUGAGAAGGUGGAAUAUUGUCCUACUGGUUAACACUGGACACUCACUGAGAAGGUGGAAUAUUGUCCUACUGGUUAACACUGGACAUUGAGAAGGUGGAAUAUUGUCCUACUGGUUAACACUGGACACUGAGAAGGUGGACUAUUGUCCCACUGGUUAACACUGGACAUUGAGAAGGUGGAAUAUUGUCCUACUGGUUAACACUGGACACUGAGAAGGUGGAAUAUUGUCCUACUGGUUAACACUGGACACUCACUGAGAAGGUGGAAUAUUGUCCUACUGGUUAACACUGGACACUCACUGAGAAGGUGGAAUAUUGUCCUACUGGUUAACACUGGACACUCACUGAGAAGGUGGAAUAUUGUCCUACUGGUUAACACUGGACACUGAGAAGGUGGAAUAUUGUCCUACUGGUUAACACUGGACACUGAGAAGGUGGAAUAUUGUCCUACUGGUUAACACUGGACACUGAGAAGGUGGAAUAUUGUCCUACUGGUUAACACUGGACACUGAGAAGGUAGAAUAUUGUCCUACUGGUUAACACUGGACACUCACUGGUUAACACUGGACACUCACUGGUUAACACUGGACACUCACUGGUUAACACUGGACACUCACUGGUUAACACUGGACACUCACUGGUUAACACUGGACACUCACUGGUUAACACUGGACACUCACUGGUUAACACUGGACACUCACUGGUUAACACUGGACACUCACUGGUUAACACUGGACACUGAGAAGGUAGAAUAUUGUCCUACUGGUUAACACUGGACACUCACUGAGAAGGUGGAAUAUUGUCCUACUGGUUAACACUGGACACUGAGAAGGUGGAAUAUUGUCCUACUGGUUAACACUGGACACUGAGAAGGUGGAAUAUUGUCCUACUGGUUAACACUGGACACUGAGAAGGUGGAAUAUUGUCCUACUGGUUAACACUGGACACUGAGAAGGUAGAAUAUUGUCCUACUGGUUAACACUGGACACUGAGAAGGUGGAAUAUUGUCCUACUGGUUAACACUGGACACUGAGAAGGUAGAAUAUUGUCCUACUGGUUAACACUGGACACUGAGAAGGUGGAAUAUUGUCCUACUGGUUAACACUGGACACUGAGAAGGUGGAAUAUUGUCCUACUGGUUAACACUGGACACUGAGAAGGUGGAAUAUUGUCCUACUGGUUAACACUGGACACUCACUGAGAAGGUGGAAUAUUGUCCUACUGGUUAACACUGGACACUGAGAAGUUGGAAUAUUGUCCUACUGGUUAACACUGGACACUGAGAAGGUGGAAUAUUGUCCUACUGGUUAACA